rnacentral:rRNA from 1 species
GACGAAGGAUGCAAGCGUUAUCCGGAUUCAUUGGGUUUAAAGGGUGCGUAGGCGGCCCAGUAAGUCAGUGGUGAAAGCCUGUUGCUCAACAACAGAACUGCCAUUGAUACUGCUAGGCUUGAGUACAGAUGCUGUGGGCGGAAUAUGACAUGUAGUGGUGAAAUACAUAGAGAUGUCAUAGAACGCCGAUUGCGAAGGCAGCUCACAAAACUGUAACUGACGCUGAGGCACGAAAGUGCGGGGAUCAAACAGG